UUUCCAUUAACGAACUUAGCCCGAGUAAUUUCAGUACAAACGUUUUUGGAAAGCUGUCGAAAAUUACUCCAUCAAUCUGACGUAUUUU